rnacentral:rRNA from 1 species
UACAGAGGUCCCAAGCGUUGUUCGGAUUCACUGGGCGUAAAGGGUGCGUAGGUGGUCGGGUAAGUUUGAUGUGAAAUCUCCGGGCUUAACCCGGAAACUGCAUUGAAUACUAUUCGGCUGGAGGGUUGGAGGGGGGACUGGAAUUCUCGGUGUAGCAGUGAAAUGCGUAGAUAUCGAGAGGAACACCAGUGGCGAAGGCGAGUCCCUGGACAACUCCUGACACUAAGGCACGAAAGCUAGGGGAGCAAACAGG